GAAAUUUUAGUUAAAUAUAAUAUUAGUUUGUCAAAUUAAAGUUACUUCUAUAGUAAAUUUCU
rnacentral:tRNA from 1 species